rnacentral:rRNA from 1 species
CCUACGGGGGGCAGCAGUGAGGAAUAUUGGUCAAUGGGCGAGAGCCUGAACCAGCCAAGUCGCGUGAAGGAUGAAGGAUCUAUGGUUUGUAAACUUCUUUUAUAUGGGAAUAAAGUGAGGAACGUGUUCCUUUUUGUAUGUACCAUAUGAAUAAGCAUCGGCUAACUCCGGGCCAGCAGCCGCGGUAAUACGGAGGAUGCGAGCGUUAUCCGGAUUUAUUGGGUUUAAAGGGUGCGUAGGUGGUUAAUUAAGUCAGCGGUGAAAGUUUGUGGCUCAACCAUAAAAUUGCCGUUGAAACUGGUUGACUUGAGUAUAUUUGAGGUAGGCGGAAUGCGUGGUGUAGCGGUGAAAUGCAUAGAUAUCACGCAGAACUACGAUUGCGAAGGCAGCUUACUAAACUAUAACUGACACUGAAGCACGAAAGCGUGGGGAGCAAACAGGAUUAGAUACCCCGGUAGUC